ACGUCGCGGAGCGCCCGGACGCCGGGCUGCUCGGCGUAGCCGAACACCGACACGUUCAGGUCGCGGGCGCCGUUC
rnacentral:tRNA from 1 species